rnacentral:sRNA from 1 species
GCCAGGUGCGGUGGCUCACGCCUGUAAUCCCAGCACUUUGGGAGGCAGAGGCGGGUGGAUCACCUGAGGUCAGGAGUUCAAGACCAGCCUGGCCAACAUGGUGAAACCCCGUCUCUA